GGGUGAUAUCUUUAUAAAUAUAUCUUAUAUUAGAUAUGAUGACGACGAGGGAAGAAAGGUCCUACAUGAGGAUAAAGAGCCUUGUUUUGUAGCCAAGGAUGACUUGCCUGCAGCCUCCCAAGGGCUCUCUCUCUCUCUCUCUCAAAAUAUAAUGUGGCGCUAUAGCUAAGCUUGGUUUAGAAUCCUUGUGUGGUCUACAGGCAGUCUCCUUGGCUACCGAGACAGGUUCUUUUAUCUCAUGCUGGACCUCUUCUUCCAUGGGGCAACAGAUUUCCACCAGGAUGUAUUGAGUUUCUUGAGGAACUCAUAGAUGAGUUGUUGUUUGGAGGGCGGUUGAUUUAUUGAAGAUUAAUAAUGUAGCGGGAACUGAUGAUUCUGAUCAUUGUUCUGUUAUUUGUAUUAUUCAAUCAAGUUCGAAAUGGUCAUACUGUUAAUCCAAGUCAAGAUAGUCAUGUGGUUGUUUCUGAUGGAUCGAAACACUUGGUCUGAAAGAUGACUGCACUCUCACUACAAGGGGGUGAGCUCAAAUAGGAAGCCUACAAUAUGACGAGCUUUUAUAAUAAGGGGCUAUGUUGAGGGUUACAAUGAGGAGGUUGAAUUCAGCAGUACAAUAAUGAUUCUGCACUUGAUCGGACGGCUAUUAAGACCGCCUCAUUGUAUUCUCA